CAAGAACUGCCCUGGGAGGGCCUGGAUCUUGUGCUGCAGACAUUCCUGGAGCAGCACCUGACCCCCACCACGCUACUGCAUCUCUUUCUGCACUUGCAGCCGUGGAUCUGCUCUCCCCGGGCCCAGGAGAGGAGCCGAGCUGUGAGAGCCAGCGCCCGGCUCUUCAUGUUCUACCGCUUCAAAGCCAUCACCGAGGACCUGAAACCCAUGGUAGAGCAGGGCUACAUGGCCGGGCUGCUGACAAGCCAGGCCUUCGAUGCUCAGGAGGCCACCAGAUACUGGGCAUCUCAGGCUCUCUACUGGCUCUUCACGCCUU